GAUGAACGCUAGCGACAGGCUUAACACAUGCAAGUCGAGGGGCAGCGGGGGUAGCAAUACCCGCCGGCGACCGGCGCACGGGUGAGUAACGCGUAUGCAACUUACCUAUCAGAGGGGGAUAACCCGGCGAAAGUCGGACUAAUACCGCAUGAAGCAGGGAUCCCGCAUGGGAAUAUUUGCUAAAGAUUCAUCGCUGAUAGAUAGGCAUGCGUUCCAUUAGGCAGUUGGCGGGGUAACGGCCCACCAAACCGACGAUGGAUAGGGGUUCUGAGAGGAAGGUCCCCCACAUUGGUACUGAGACACGGACCAAACUCCUACGGGAGGCAGCAGUGAGGAAUAUUGGUCAAUGGCCGAGAGGCUGAACCAGCCAAGUCGCGUGAGGGAUGAAGGUUCUAUGGAUCGUAAACCUCUUUUAUAAGGGAAUAAAGUGCGGGACGUGUCCCGUUUUGUAUGUACCUUAUGAAUAAGAAUCGGCUAACUCCGUGCCAGCAGCCGCGGUAAUACGGAGGAUCCGAGCGUUAUCCGGAUUUAUUGGGUUUAAAGGGUGCGUAGGCGGCCUUUUAAGUCAGCGGUGAAAGUCCGUGGCUCAACCAUAGAAUUGCCGUUGAAACUGGGGGGCUUGAGUAUGUUUGAGGCAGGCGGAAUGCGUGGUGUAGCGGUGAAAUGCAUAGAUAUCACGCAGAACCCCGAUUGCGAAGGCAGCCUGCCAAGCCAUUACUGACGCUGAUGCACGAAAGCGUGGGGAUCAAACAGGAUUAGAUACCCUGGUAGUCCACGCAGUAAACGAUGAUCACUAGCUGUUUGCGAUACACUGUAAGCGGCACAGCGAAAGCGUUAAGUGAUCCACCUGGGGAGUACGCCGGCAACGGUGAAACUCAAAGGAAUUGACGGGGGCCCGCACAAGCGGAGGAACAUGUGGUUUAAUUCGAUGAUACGCGAGGAACCUUACCCGGGUUUGAACGCAUUCGGACCGAGGUGGAAACACCUUUUCUAGCAAUAGCCGUUUGCGAGGUGCUGCAUGGUUGUCGUCAGCUCGUGCCGUGAGGUGUCGGCUUAAGUGCCAUAACGAGCGCAACCCUUGCCACUAGUUACUAACAGGUAAAGCUGAGGACUCUGGUGGGACUGCCAGCGUAAGCUGCGAGGAAGGCGGGGAUGACGUCAAAUCAGCACGGCCCUUACAUCCGGGGCGACACACGUGUUACAAUGGCGUGGACAAAGGGAAGCCACCUGGCGACAGGGAGCGAAUCCCCAAACCACGUCUCAGUUCGGAUCGGAGUUUGCAACCCGACUCCGUGAAGCUGGAUUCGCUAGUAAUCGCGCAUCAGCCAUGGCGCGGUGAAUACGUUCCCGGGCCUUGUACACACCGCCCGUCAAGCCAUGGGAGCCGGGGGUACCUGAAGUCCGUAACCGCGAGGAUCGGCCUAGGGUA
rnacentral:rRNA from 1 species